GGGUCAAUAGCUCAGUGGUAGAGCAUUUGAUUAUAAAUGAAGAGGUCAUCGGUUCGAAUCUGGUUGGGCCCU